rnacentral:rRNA from 1 species
AUUGAACGCUGGCGGCAUGCCUUACACAUGCAAGUCGAACGGCAGCACGGGAGCAAUCCUGGUGGCGAGUGGCGAACGGGUGAGUAAUAUAUCGGAACGUGCCCAGUCUGGGGAUAACGUAGCGAAAGCUACGCUAAUACCGCAUACGAUCUAUGGAUGAAAGCGGGGGAUCGCAAGACCUCGCGCGAUUGGAGCGGCCGAUAUCAGAUUAGGUAGUUGGUGAGGUUAAAGGCUUCACCAAGCCGACGAUCUGUAGCUGGUCUGAGAGGACGACCAGCCACAAUGGGACUGAGACACGGCCCAGACUCCUACGGGAGGCAGCA